CGUGUAGGCGGCCUUUUAAGUCAGACGCGAAAUCUCCAGGCUUAACCUGGAAACUGCGUUUGAAACUGGAGGGCUUGAGGACCGGAGAGGGCAGUGGAAUUCCCAGUGUAGCGGUGAAAUGCGUAGAUAUUGGGAGGAACACCAGUGGCGAAGGCGACUGCCUGGACGGCACCUGACGCUGAGGCGCGAAAGCUAGGGGAGCAAACGGGAUUAGAUACCCCGGUAGUCCUAGCCGUAAACGAUGGGUACUAGGUGUGGGAGGUAUCGACCCCUUCCGUGCCGCAGUUAACACAAUAAGUACCCCGCCUGGGGAGUACGGCCGCAAGGUUGAA
rnacentral:rRNA from 1 species